rnacentral:rRNA from 1 species
UCGUGAUAUCUCAUCUCGCCGCCCGUCGCGAGGCGGACGGAGGGAUGGAUGAGGUUACCUGGAAAAAAUCGGGGCGAUCUAGGCGGGCGAACCUCGCCAACGAACGAUCGGACAUGGGAUAACGGAAGAGGGGCGUCGGGCUCGACUUCGUCGGUUCCUCGGGGCCGAGGCACGUACGGUGAAUAGGGACGGUCGGGGCCGCCCGUACCGGGUCGUGAGAGGUGAAAUUCUAGGAUCGACCCGAGACGAACCGCCGCGAAAGCAUUCGGCAAGGACGCUUUCAUUAAUCAAGAACGAAAUCGGGGGAUCGAAGACGAUCAGAUACCGUCGUAGUCCCGACCGUAAACGAUGCCGACCGAGGGCCCGGAGGAGUUACGUACGACCCCUCCGGGCCCUCCCGCGAGAAAUCAGGAGUAUUCGGGUUCCGGGGG